ensembl:lincRNA
GUGAGGAAGAGUUUGUAACACUUGGUUAUUGAGACGCUAAUGUUUUUGUUUUUUCUUACAGGAGACAGAUUUUGUCUGUUUCGAAGGAGGAAAAGACGAUUUUGAUAAUUAUAAUAUAGAAGAACUUUUAGGGUCUUUGGAACUGUAUGAUUCUGCACCUGAAGGGUCUGGCAAACCUGAAGAAAAUGUUCCUCAGUAUGCAGAAAAACAUCAUGAAGUGUCUAAGGAGACUGAACUUAAACCUGAGCCAGUUAAAGCCGACUCAGGAGAAAGUGCAUUUUCAGAAAGUGCUGAGGAACUGCAGGGAGAGUUUUCAGCUCAGAAGAGCCACCCUCAUGCCAGUAGUCGAACAGAUAGUGUGCAGGGAGCAGAGUCUUCACUGGACACCUUUGAAGAAAUGCUGCAUGAUAAAUUAAAAGUGCCAGAAACUGAAAACAAAACCAGCAAUAGUUCUCAGGUCCCAAACGAACAGGAAAAGAUAGACGCCCAUAAACUUCUGAAGACAGACGUGUCUCUAGGCUUGAAAACCAAGUUCGGCUCAACCACUGAUGCGCUUGUAUCCGACGAUGAGUCAACCAGACUGGUCACUUCAUUAGAAGAUGAUUUUGAUGAAGAAUUGGAUGCUGAGUAUUAUGCAGUGGAGGACGGAGAAGAGGAGAACACAGACAAUUUGGAUGAGCUGCCAUUACUAACCUUCACAGAUGGAGAAGAUAAGAAAGCUCCUGAGGCGUAUGAGGUAGAGAAAGAUUCACUAGAUAAGGCACUGGACUUAAGUGAAGAGGGGAAGGUUGAACCCACUCUGCCUCCUGGCGUCCAAAGUGAUGGUAAAGAUAGAGUGACAACCUGGGGGGACACCUUCUUCUCUGUUAUCACAGGAGGUGAAGAAAAACCAGGAAUGUCAGAGUUAGAGAGUUCUAAUUCAGAGGACAAAAAGGAAGAGGAGAAUGUAUUAGUCCUAGAUAACAAAGAGAGGAAGCCACUGUCAGCAACAGAUUAUGCUAACCAUGAAGGUGCAGAAGAUUCUAAAGCAAAUGAUGAAAAAGACUCAGAAAUGGACCCAGACCUUCUUCUUAAAGGAAAAGAGAAGGAAAUACAGGAAUCUAAGAGGGGCCUGGUACAAAAUGAGUCAGAAUUAGAGAAUGGGAAGCCAGAAAUGGUGAGCACAUAUAGUUCUCAAAGUAAGAUCAACUCCCUGCCAGCCGCCAAGAAGGGCAAAGAAUCAACAUUAAAAGAAGUCUUUGAAAAAAAAAACGAUCUAAAAGAACCAGUUAUUCACAUCUCAAAGGAAACACACCAUGAAGAAAACACUGCAGAGAUUUUGGAAAAUGACUUAGAGAGUGACUCAGUACCCAGGGCUGUGGGGAGUCCAGUGACUGAAGAAAAGAGUGAACAAGAAUCCUUGGGUGUCGCACCACCCCUAGCAGAUAAUCAGCCUAACACAUCCAAAGACAGUAUGGCGGGGACAGAUGCUUUGGCCCAUGAACCAAAAACAGAUAAGCAGGAGAAAAUUCGAGAACCAGAUCUUAAAACUCAAAAUCAACCUAGAUUCCCUCCUCCAGAGGAAGCUGGUUUAUCAACAGAACUGGAAGAAAAAGCUCCUACCCUGGGAAGAAAUCUUCCUUGGCAGCAAGAAAGAGAUGCUGCUGCUGUACUUCACAGGCACGAGCAGAUGGGGCUUUCUAAGGAAGAGGGCAAAGAGGACUCCGCAAAUGCAGAACUCGCUCACCCCAAGGCCAUACAGGGGACACAGGAAGCUGGUAACCUGGAAGUGCCCAAUGUCCGUACGUUAGACGCAGAGGCAGACGAGGGUGAUUACCCCCCUGAGGAUCUACUGGAAGAUGAAAAUGCUCUAAGUGCACAGCAGUCUAGAGAAAACCACCCUGGGGUCCAGGAGAAGAGGUACCAACACCCUGGAGUAGAGACUGCCCCACUCAUCACACCCCCACCUCUGGAGGAAGACUGGGCUGGACCAGCAGAAGGUAUAGUACCUGCCCAUGACCUUGUGGGGUUGGGUUGGAAAAGCAGGGGAUGGGGGUAAG